rnacentral:tRNA from 1 species
GCCAGGGUGGCCGAGCGGUCGAGGCAGCGCUCUCAUGAAGCGUCCCACGUGGGUUCGAAUCCCACCCCUGGCA